GCUUACGGCCAUACCACCCUGAGCACGCCCGAUCUCGUCCGAUCUCGGAAGCUAAGCAGGGUCGGGCCUGGUUAGUACUUGGUUGGGAGACCGCCUGGGAAUACCAGGUGCUGUAAGCU
rnacentral:rRNA from 1 species